UGGUUCUGGCAUCGAUGAAGAACGCAGCGAAAUGCGAUAAGUAAUGUGAAUUGCAGAAUUCAGUGAAUCAUCGAAUCUUUGAACGCACAUUGCGCCCGCUAGUAUUCUGGCGGGCAUGCCUGUCUGAGCGUCAUUUCAACCCUCGGGCCCCGUUGCUCUCGCGAGCUCGCGGCGGCCCGGCGUUGGGGACCGUCCCCUCCCCCUAGGGGAGGCGGCGCCCCCUAAAUCCAGUGGCGACCACGCCCGCGGCACCCUCUGCGCAGUAACUCACCUCGCAGGCGGGACGCGGGCGCGGCCACGCCGUGAAACCCCCCAAACUCCUGAACAGUUGACCUCAGAUCAGGUAGGGAUACCCGCUGA
rnacentral:misc_RNA from 1 species